rnacentral:lncRNA from 1 species
GUACUGGGUGAGCCACCAUCCUUUAGAUCCGCCGGACCAGGUGUACCGACUGUCCGAAUCGAGACUUGACGACCUAGGGAUUCCGGAUUUUCACGGAGAUGGAAGAGCGAGGAUAGCCCCAAGCGCGACGGGUUGCUAGGUCGGGAUUCGUAGCCGUCGAACCGUCUCGUCGGAGACACUAACUUUCUAGGAGGUUUGUGGCGGGUUGGUUCAUCGG